CAGCAGCAGCGGCGUGGUCAGAGCGAGCUUCGGAGAAGCAGUGGUGGGUUCCAUGUGAUGGUGGAGUAGGAGGCAGGUCUCCGCGGUCAUUUACCAUGCUGUCCUCCAGGUUCAACAGUAUGGCUCCAAAGGAUGAAAUUUCAUUCUGAUUUUCUGGCUGAAGACUAUUCUCUUUGUGUAUGUCCACCACAGUUACUUUAUCCCUUCAUCUGUGGAUGGGCAGUCUCGCUGUAUUGCCCAGGCUGGAGUGCAGUGGCAUGAUCUCAGCUCACUGCAAGCUCUGCUUCCUGGGUUCACGCCAUUCUCCUGCCUCAGCCUCCUGAGUAGCUGGGAUUACAGGCACCCGCCACCACGCCCAGGAAAGAAAAAAGAAGAAAACAAACCUCCAUACGAGAAUGGGUCUAAAGGAACUUCCCAAACCUCCAUGAUUUUGCAGGAAACAAGAUAAAGCUGGUUGGUGGAGAAUUUGAACUGGAGAUGAACUUUAUUAUCCAGGAUGCUGAGAGUAUAAUACGCAUGACAGAGCUUUUAGAGCACUGUGAUGUAACAUGUCAAGCAGAAAUAGGGAGCAUGUUUACAGCCAUUCUAUGAAAAAGUGUUUGGAAUGUACAGACUAGCACAGAAGUUGGGCUAAUUAAACAAGUAUUGCUGAAAAUGAGUGCUGUAGAUGACAUGAGAGCAGGUAUGG
rnacentral:lncRNA from 10 species